rnacentral:rRNA from 1 species
GAUGAACGCUGGCGGCGUGCUUAACACAUGCAAGUCGAACGAAGCACUUUUAUUUGAUUUCUUCGGAAUGAAGAUUUUAGUGACUGAGUGGCGGACGGGUGAGUAACGCGUGGGUAACCUGCCUCAUACAGGGGGAUAACAGUUAGAAAUGGCUGCUAAUACCGCAUAAGCGCACAGGGCCGCAUGGCCCGGUGUGAAAAACUCCGGUGGUAUAAGAUGGACCCGCGUCUGAUUAGCUGGUUGGUGGGGUAACGGCCCACCAAAGGCGACGAUCAGUAGCCGGCCUGAGAGGGUGAACGGCCACAUUGGGACUGAGACACGGCCCAG